rnacentral:rRNA from 1 species
ACGGGGAAAGAUUUAUUGCCGAAGGAACGGCCCGCGUCCGAUUAGCUAGUUGGUGAGGUAACGGCUCACCAAGGCGACGAUCGGUAGCUGGUCUGAGAGGAUGACCAGCCUCACUGGGACUGAGACACGGCCCAGACUCCUACGGGAGGCAGCAGUGGGGAAUAUUGGACAAUGGGCGCAAGCCUGAUCCAGCCAUGCCGCGUGGGUGAUGAAGGCCCUAGGGUUGUAAAGCCCUUUCAGCGGGGAAGAUAAUGACGGUACCCGCAGAAGAAGCCCCGGCUAACUUCGUGCCAGCAGCCGCGGUAAUACGAAGGGGGCUAGCGUUGCUCGGAAUUACUGGGCGUAAAGCGCACGUAGGCGGCUUUCUAAGUCGGGGGUGAAAUCCUGGAGCUCAACUCCAGAACUGCCUUCGAUACUGGAAAGCUCGAGUCCGGGAGAGGUGAGUGGAAC